rnacentral:lncRNA from 1 species
AAACAUCAUGCUUUAGAUCACUGCGCAUCCUGAACCCUGUGCAGCAAUCUAGUUCGCAUCCCCCCUCACUUCCAGAGACUUAAGACAUACCUCCAAAUUUGAUCUUCCACCUCCAACACCCUCAGAACCAGGGCUUGGGGUGUGGUACCUUGAGACUAUCAGAUCUGGAUCUGAACCAUCGAUGAGGAGGAGUCCUUGAUGGACUAGGAUUCCAUGGCAGCAUCUUCCCAAACCGCAGUCGUUUUUUGUGCGCUCAAUCUUGGCCCUUAUAGACCUCUGAUCUGAACCAAAUCAAAGCCCAAACCACCCCA